UACGAAGGGGGCUAGCGUUGCUCGGAAUGACUGGGCGUAAAGGGCGCGUAGGCGGUUGGUACAGUCAGAUGUGAAAUUCCCGGGCUCAACCUGGGGGCUGCAUUUGAUACGUGCUGGCUUGAGUGAGGAAGAGGGUCGUGGAAUUCCCAGUGUAGAGGUGAAAUGCGUAGAUAUCUGGAGGAACACCGGUGGCGAAGGCGGCAUCCUGGGCCGGUAUUGACGCUGAGGAGCGAAAGCCAGGGGAGCAAACGGG
rnacentral:rRNA from 1 species